rnacentral:misc_RNA from 1 species
GAUGAAGAACGUAGCGAAAUGCGAUACUUGGUGUGAAUUGCAGAAUCCCGUGAACCAUCGAGUCUUUGAACGCAAGUUGCGCCCGAAGCCAUCAGGUUGAGGGCACGACUGCCUGGGCGUCACAUAUCGUUGCCCAAUGCCUAUUGCAGUGCAAUAGGAAUUUCUAGGGCGAAUGAUGGCUUCCCGUGAGCGUUGUUGCCUCGCGGUUGGUUGAAAAUCGAGUCCUUGGUAGGGUGUGCCAUGGUAGAUGGUGGUCGAGUUAGAACGAUACCGAUCAUGUGCAUGCUCCCCAAAAUAUGGCCUCUAUGACCCACACGCGUCUUUUGACGCUCAUGACGAGACCUCAGGUCAGGCGGGGCUACCCGCUGAAUUUAAGCAUAUCAAUAAGCGGAGGA